CUCGAUGAGUAGGGCGGGACACGUGGUAUCCUGUCUGAAUAUGGGGGGACCAUCCUCCAAGGCUAAAUACUCCUGACUGACCGAUAGUGAACCAGUACCGUGAGGGAAAGGCGAAAAGAACCCCGGCGAGGGGAGUGAAAAAGAACCUGAAACCGUGUACGUACAAGCAGUGGGAGCACAGGUUUACCUGUGUGACUGCGUACCUUUUGUAUAAUGGGUCAGCGACUUAUAUUCUGUAGCAAGGUUAACCGUAUAGGGGAGCCGUAGGGAAACCGAGUCUUAACCGGGCGUUAAGUUGCAGGGUAUAGACCCGAAACCCGGUGAUCUAGCCAUGGGCAGGUUGAAGGUUGGGUAACACUAACUGGAGGACCGAACCGACUAAUGUUGAAAAAUUAGCGGAUGACCUGUGGCUGGGGGUGAAAGGCCAAUCAAACCGGGAGAUAGCUGGUUCUCCCCGAAAGCUAUUUAGGUAGCGCCUCGUGAAUUCAUCUCCGGGGGUAGAGCACUGUUUCGGCUAGGGGGCCAUCCCGGCUUACCAACCCGAUGCAAACUGCGAAUACCGGAGAAUGUUAUCACGGGAGACACACGGCGGGUGCUAACGUCCGUCGUGAAGAGGGAAACAACCCAGACCGCCAGCUAAGGUCCCAAAGUCAUGGUUAAGUGGGAAACGAUGUGGGAAGGCCCAGACAGCCAGGAUGUUGGCUUAGAAGCAGCCAUCAUUUAAAGAAAGCGUAAUAGCUCACUGGUCGAGUCGGCCUGCGCGGAAGAUGUAACGGGGCUAAACCAUGCACCGAAGCUGCGGCAGCGACGCUGAUGCGUUGUUGGGUAGGGGAGCGUUCUGUAAGCCUGUGAAGGUGGCCUGUGAGGGUUGCUGGAGGUAUCAGAAGUGCGAAUGCUGACAUAAGUAACGAUAAAGCGGGUGAAAAGCCCGCUCGCCGGAAGACCAAGGGUUCCUGUCCAACGUUAAUCGGGGCAGGGUGAGUCGACCCCUAAGGCGAGGCCGAAAGGCGUAGUCGAUGGGAAACGGGUUAAUAUUCCCGUACUUGGUGUUACUGCGAAGGGGGGACGGAGAAGGCUAUGUUGGCCGGGCGACGGUUGUCCCGGUUUAAGCGUGUAGGUGUGUGUUCCAGGUAAAUCCGGUUCACUUUAACACUGAGGCGUGAUGACGAGGCACUACGGUGCUGAAGCAACAAAUGCCCUGCUUCCAGGAAAAGCCUCUAAGCAUCAGGUAACAUCAAAUCGUACCCCAAACCGACACAGGUGGUCAGGUAGAGAAUACCAAGGCGCUUGAGAGAACUCGGGUGAAGGAACUAGGCAAAAUGGUGCCGUAACUUCGGGAGAAGGCACGCUGACACGUAGGUGAAGUGAUUUACUCAUGGAGCUGAAGUCAGUCGAAGAUACCAGCUGGCUGCAACUGUUUAUUAAAAACACAGCACUGUGCAAACACGAAAGUGGACGUAUACGGUGUGACGCCUGCCCGGUGCCGGAAGGUUAAUUGAUGGGGUCAGCGCAAGCGAAGCUCCUGAUCGAAGCCCCGGUAAACGGCGGCCGUAACUAUAACGGUCCUAAGGUAGCGAAAUUCCUUGUCGGGUAAGUUCCGACCUGCACGAAUGGCGUAAUGAUGGCCAGGCUGUCUCCACCCGAGACUCAGUGAAAUUGAACUCGCUGUGAAGAUGCAGUGUACCCGCGGCAAGACGGAAAGACCCCGUGAACCUUUACUAUAGCUUGACACUGAACAUUGAGCCUUGAUGUGUAGGAUAGGUGGGAGGCUUUGAAGCGUGGACGCCAGUCUGCAUGGAGCCGGCCUUGAAAUACCACCCUUUAAUGUUUGAUGUUCUAACGUGGACCCGUGAUCCGGGUUGCGGACAGUGUCUGGUGGGUAGUUUGACUGGGGCGGUCUCCUCCUAAAGAGUAACGGAGGAGCACGAAGGUUGGCUAAUCCUGGUCGGACAUCAGGAGGUUAGUGCAAUGGCAUAAGCCAGCUUGACUGCGAGCGUGACGGCGCGAGCAGGUGCGAAAGCAGGUCAUAGUGAUCCGGUGGUUCUGAAUGGAAGGGCCAUCGCUCAACGGAUAAAAGGUACUCCGGGGAUAACAGGCUGAUACCGCCCAAGAGUUCAUAUCGACGGCGGUGUUUGGCACCUCGAUGUCGGCUCAUCACAUCCUGGGGCUGAAGUAGGUCCCAAGGGUAUGGCUGUUCGCCAUUUAAAGUGGUACGCGAGCUGGGUUUAGAACGUCGUGAGACAGUUCGGUCCCUAUCUGCCGUGGGCGCUGGAGAACUGAGGGGGGCUGCUCCUAGUACGAGAGGACCGGAGUGGACGCAUCACUGGUGUUCGGGUUGUCAUGCCAAUGGCACUGCCCGGUAGCUAAAUGCGGAAGAGAUAAGUGCUGAAAGCAUCUAAGCACGAAACUUGCCCCGAGAUGAGUUCUCCCUGAGACUUAGAGUCUCCUGAAGGAACGUUGAAGACGACGACGUUGAUAGGCCGGGUGUGUAAGCGCAGCGAUGCGUUGAGCUAACCGGUACUAAUGAACCGUGAGGCUUAACCUU
rnacentral:rRNA from 1 species